GCAGUAGCCGCGGUAAUACGGAGGGAGCUAGCGUUAUUCGGAAUUACUGGGCGUAAAGCGCACGUAGGCGGCUUUGUAAGUAAGAGGUGAAAGCCCGGGGCUCAACCCCAGAAUUGCCUUUCAGACUGCAUCGCUUGAAUCAUGGAGAGGUCAGUGGAAUUCCGAGUGUAGAGGUGAAAUUCGUAGAUAUUCGGAAGAGCACCAGUGGCGAAGGCGGCUGACUGGACAUGUAUUGACGCUGAGGUGCGAAAGCGUGGGGAGCAAACAGGAUUAGAUACCCCCGUAGUCCCUGUCUUUUAUAC
rnacentral:rRNA from 1 species